UCCCUGGUGGUCUGGUGGCUAGAAUUUAGCGCUUUCACCGCCGCAGCUCGGGUUGGAUUACCAGUCAGGGAA
rnacentral:tRNA from 1 species